rnacentral:tRNA from 1 species
GGGAAUGUAUCUCUAGUGGUAGAGCACAUGGUUUGCAUGCAUGAGGUCCUGGGUUUGAUUCCCAGCAUCCCA